UUAUCUUCGGAUUUUUGGAUCAAGGGUGGCCUCUACAUGUAAGCUACUGUUUGAAGAUGAGCCCGCGUACCAUUAGCUUGUUGGUGGGGUAACGGCCUACCAAGGCAACGAUGGUUAGCUGGUCUGAGAGGAAGAUCAGCCACACUGGAACUGACACACGGUCCAGACUCCUACGGGAGGCAGCAGUGAGGAAUUUUGCGCAAUGGGGGAAACCCUGACGCAGCAACGCCGCGUGAGUGAUGAAGGCUUUCGGGUCGUACAGCUCUGUCAAGUGGGAAGAACCUAUGUAAUGUUAAUACCAUUACGUACUGACGGUACCACUGAAGGAAGCACCGGCUAACUCCGUGCCAGCAGCCGCGGUAAUACGGGGGGUGCAAGCGUUAUUCGGAAUCAUUGGGCGUAAAGAGCACGUAGGCGGCCUGGUAAGUCAGAUGUGAAAGCCCGGGGCUUAACCCCGGAAGUGCAUUUGAUACUGUCAGGCUUGAGUAUGGGAGAGGGAAGUGGAAUUCCUGGUGUAGAGGUGAAAUUCGUAGAUAUCAGGAGGAACACCGGUGGCGAAGGCGACUUCCUGGACCAAUACUGACGCUGAGGUGCGAAGGCGUGGGUAGCAAACAGGAUUAGAUACCCUGGUAGUCCACG
rnacentral:rRNA from 1 species